rnacentral:rRNA from 1 species
CAGUCGCCGCGGUAAUACGAAGGGGGCUAGCGUUGUUCGGAUUUACUGGGCGUAAAGGGCGCGUAGGCGGACUGAUAAGUCAGGGGUGAAAUCCCAAGGCUCAACCUUGGAACUGCCUUUGAUACUGUUUGUCUUGAGUUCGAGAGAGGUAAGUGGAACUGCGAGUGUAGAGGUGAAAUUCGUAGAUAUUCGUAAGAACACCAGUGGCGAAGGCGGCUUACUGGCUCGAAACUGACGCUGAGGCGCGAAAGCGUGGGGAGCAAACAGGAUUAGAUACCCCGGUAGUCCCUGUCUCUUAUAA